rnacentral:rRNA from 1 species
AUUGAACGCUGGCGGCAUGCCUUACACAUGCAAGUCGAACGGUAACAGGUCUUCGGAUGCUGACGAGUGGCGAACGGGUGAGUAAUACAUCGGAACGUGCCCAGUCGUGGGGGAUAACGAAGCGAAAGCUUUGCUAAUACCGCAUACGAUCUAAGGAUGAAAGCGGGGGAUCGCAAGACCUCGCGCGAUUGGAGCGGCCGAUGGCAGAUUAGGUAGUUGGUGGGGUAAAGGCUUACCAAGCCUACGAUCUGUAGCUGGUCUGAGAGGACGACCAGCCACACUGGGACUGAGAAACGGCCCAGACUCCUACGGGAGGCAGCAGUGGGGAAUUUCGGACAAUGGGCGCAAGCCUGAUCCAGCAAUGCCGCGUGCAGGAUGAAGGCCUUCGGGUUGUAAACUGCUUUUGUACGGAACGAAAAGCUCUGGGUUAAUACCUCGGGGUCAUGACGGUACCGUAAGAAUAAGCACCGGCUAACUACGUGCCAGCCGCCGCUGUAA